CGCCACCCCCGCGCUGCAGGGUCGCGGCCAGCGCUGCUCUGCCCGUCCCCCGCAGCGCCCCGGCCGAGCCCUGCUGUGGAGGGGAGCCUUCCUCCCUCCCUCCCGCCCGCCCUUUGCGGUGUUCCCUCCCCGGCAGGUCCCGCACGGCGCGGCCCCGCAGCUCCGAGGCCCCUAAAGCGCCCUGCGGGGGCUGUCGGGGGUCGCCCGGGCGCUCGGGAGCGCGAGGAGCCUGGGCCGAGUCACUUGGGUUCUUGCCGGCUGGGGUCGUAUUUUGGGGUCUGCAAGAGCAAGAAAAUGUCUGCAGAGCCCCUGACUCUUUUGUGGAGGUCUAAAGACUCCUUUGGGGGCUAUAGAGGGAAGCAGGGGAGAGCGGGAGGAGACUGGAAGGUGAGGGCUGAGGUGGCCUGGAGCAGCGUGCUGAAGGGGGACGAGGAGCCAGAGCAUCUGUGGGAUUUCUUUAGUCUUCAGUAAAGAUCUUCAGUGAGUUACCUACCAUGGGAGUCGGGACAUCAACAGCGUCCAAAGUCCGUAAAGAUCACAAUAUUAGAGGUGUGCUGGGAACAUGAUGAGCACAAGACUCCCUGAAUGCUGCUGCAGAGCUGGUUGGACAUCCUGCCUUGGUUUCAGGCUAGUUUUGAACAGACUUGUUCACUCAUUUCCCAGCAGUCACUUGAGUAACGGGAACUCUUUAAUUUCCUUACAGAACCCCUUAGUAAAAGUUUAGACACAAACUCCACCUCUGAGUUUGGCAUCUGCCUCAUUAAAACAAUAUUUCCUCCCCUUCUGCUAACAAUCAACAAUUGUUUAACACUUCUGUAGCACUUCUUUACCAUGAUAACAACAGCAACUUUUUCAGAUGUCAUUUAACAUUCUCCCUGAAUAAUUGAAUUUACUCUUGAUGGGGCUGUUCUAAGUGGAAAUUGUGAAGACACUAUUACUGCUCUGCCAAUAAAUGUGUCAGACAUAACACUGUUAAGAAAAACUGGGCAAAAUAAUUGUGGAUUCUUCCUUACAGUGGCAAGAAAUUAUAAAAUAACAGUGUUUGUCAGAUUAAUUUGAAAAAAGAAUUUAUUGUUAUUUAAACUGUGAUAAGAAAAGGUGCUCUGAAGAUAUACCCAUUUCUUCUAACAGCCUAAUUUCUUGCAAGGACUUUCUAAUUAAUUUUGGUGUGACUUCAUUAAGUCACCAUUUCAGGAAGAUAUUCCAAUAUAUUUUCUUGAUCAGUAAUAGAUAAAAAUACUAAAAUUAUGUUUAACUGCAGCACUAACAUCAAGCACAAGACCCAGAAUAUCACAAAUUAACAACGUGUAGCUGAGAAAGGAAAAAAUUAGAAUUUAAUACUCCAGGAAAUAAAAUAGUUACACAUCCUUUUCAUAAAGCUUUAAUAACCUUGUUAACAAUUACUUUAAGCAGUUCAUGUGAGAAUGUCUAAGAUUAAAAAGCAGUAGUGAGCUUAAAUCUAUGUAAAAUGUCCUAUCAAAAGCUGUUCUCAAUUUAAUCGUUCAAACAAAGUAGCAAUUUUUACCAUUUUAUAGACUGGAAUUCCGAGGAGAUUUCUCUUAGAAGACCAUCCAUAUGCUAUAACUUUAGAUAUGAUGUAUUAUAUACAGCAUGUUACAUACAUAUUAUUAUUGUAGUUGUCAGAUGGUGAAUUCUGUCUCUUUUUUUGAAGAUAAUACACUUAAAGAUGGCUGUUCUAUGAAGAGUACAGUAUUUGCAAUGCAUGCAAUGAAUUUUAAGGCCCAUCAAGAACAUGAUAUUGUCUCAAUUUGAAUGGCUGGGAAGAUUCACAUUGACUCUGCUGUGUGUAGGGCUGCACUUUUAACCCAGGCUAAAUUUAAUGAUAGUCCCAUAAAUCACCAAGUCCAGGCACUGCAGCUCAGCUCACACAGGCAGAUCCUCAGCUCCAGAGCUCUGAUUAAGUCAACAGGGCUAGACAUCAGUACUGAUCUUGUGUGAUUGGAUUACAGGAUUGGAGCUGUGAUUUGUCCUACUGAAACCACUCUAAGGUACUUAAACAGAUAAAUCCUACUAUCAGAUUUCUUUUCUUAUUACACUUUCUGAAAUGAAAAAAAAAAAAAAGAAAAAGAAAACAAAACAAUAAAAAAAUCCCAACCUUGCUUUCUCCACGUAGCAUUAUGAUAGGGUGCACGUAGGGCUGGAGAGACAACAGAAAUACCUCAAGGGGAAUAAUAGUAGAAGUGUGAUUUCCUUUUCCACAAUAAGUUGUAAAAUACUUAUGCUUUUUUAUUUCCUCUGAACCCACUUCCAGUCCUUAGUUAACCCCACCCUCCCUGUGUGACCUGAACUACUUAACAUUCUGUUAUAAAGGAAAAUCAUGUCUAGGUUGCUUCCUGUCUCGAGUUUUAAUUCAUACCUUCUCAUCCCAUGUUUCUGGCAAAAUAACCCUAUCAAAUUAAACCAAGAAUAUGUUCAAAACACUUCUUUUUAA